rnacentral:rRNA from 1 species
GAUGAACGCUGGCGGCGUGCCUAAUACAUGCAAGUCGAGCGAAUGGAUUAAGAGCUUGCUCUUAUGAAGUUAGCGGCGGACGGGUGAGUAACACGUGGGUAACCUGCCCAUAAGACUGAGAUAACUCCGGGAAACCGGGGCUAAUACCGGAUAACAUUUUGAACCGCAUGGUUCGAAAUUGAAAGGCGGCUUCGGCUGUCACUUAUGGAUGGACCCGCGUCGCAUUAGCUAGUUGGUGAGGUAACGGCUCACCAAGGCAACGAUGCGUAGCCGACCUGAGAGGGUGAUCGGCCACACUGGGACUGAGACACGGCCCAGACUCCUACGGGAGGCAGCAGUAGGGAAUCUUCCGCAAUGGACGAAAGUCUGACGGAGCAACGCCGCGUGAGUGAUGAAGGCUUUCGGGUCGUAAAACUCUGUUGUUAGGGAAGAACAAGUGCUAGUUGAAUAAGCUGGCACCUUGACGGUACCUAACCAGAAAGCCACGGCUAACUACGUGCCAGCCGCCGCCGAAA